rnacentral:rRNA from 1 species
ACGCUGGCGGCGUGCUUAACACAUGCAAGUCGAACGCUGAUGACCUGGCUUUUGUUGGGUUGGAUGAGUGGCGAACGGGUGAGUAACACGUGAGUAACCUGCCCUCUUCUUUGGGAUAACGCCCGGAAACGGGUGCUAAUACUGGAUAUUCACUGGCCUUCGCAUGGGGGUUGGUGGAAAGGUUUGUUCUGGUGGGGGAUGGGCUCGCGGCCUAUCAGCUUGUUGGUGGGGUGAUGGCCUACCAAGGCUUUGACGGGUAGCCGGCCUGAGAGGGUGACCGGUCACAUUGGGACUGAGAUACGGCCCAGGCUCCUACGGGAGGCAGCAGUGGGGAAUAUUGCACAAUGGGCGAAAGCCUGAUGCAGCGACGCCGCGUGAGGGAUGGAGGCCUUCGGGUUGUAAACCUCUUUCGCUCAUGGUCAAGCCGCAACUGUGGGUUGUGGUGAGGGUAGUGGGUAAAGAAGCGCCGGCUAACUACGUGCCAGCAGCCGCGGUAAUACGUAGGGCGCGAGCGUUGUCCGGAAUUAUUGGGCGUAAAGGGCUUGUAGGCGGUUGGUCGCGUCUGCCGUGAAAUUCUCUGGCUUAACUGGGGGCGUGCGGUGGGUACGGGCUGACUUGAGUGCGGUAGGGGAGACUGGAACUCCUGGUGUAGCGGUGGAAUGCGCAGAUAUCAGGAAGAACACCGGUGGCGAAGGCGGGUCUCUGGGCCGUUACUGACGCUGAGGAGCGAAAGCGUGGGGAGCGAACAGGAUUAGAUACCCUGGUAGUCCACGCUGUAAACGUUGGGCACUAGGUGUGGGGGCCACCCGUGGUUUCUGCGCCGUAGCUAACGCUUUAAGUGCCCCGCCUGGGGAGUACGGCCGCAAGGCUAAAACUCAAAGGAAUUGACGGGGGCCCGCACAAGCGGCGGAGCAUGC